CUAGCCCACAAUCAUUUUUUACAAAACCUAUAAGUAAGACCCAUUAUUGUCCCUCUUCUGUGACCAAAAUUUAAUUUUAUUCUUAUUCCCAUUCUACCCUUCUACAACACAACACAAGAAAAGGGUGAAACAAAAAUGAAAACAAUGAUUCACAUGACGCCAUAACCAUAAUCAUGAUCAUAAUGAAACCCAAAACAUGAAAAUCUUUUAGGUUCUUAUAACAAGCCGUCUUCCAUGCUUACACAUGCAUGAUACUUGUGUCAGAUUCAGAAGAUUAAAAAUAAAACCUCUCUUUUUCCUUUUUUUUCUUCUAUUUCUUCUUCUAUAAAUCCUCUCCCUCAUUCCUUCAUUUUCAUUCAUUCUCAUUCUUUUCAAUUCCUUAACUUCUCCAAGGUUGUGAGAAAUUGUUUGAUUUUUCAUAGUGAUGGAAAGAUUGAACACAGAAUUGUACUACCAAAACUGUCACAUAAUGAAAGAAAAUGAAAGGCUAAGGAAGAAAGCUCAACUUCUGAAUCAAGAGAAUCAACAACUUUUGUCUCAACUCAAACAGAAACUUUCAAAUGGUGGUGGUGGAAGUAACUCAAAAAACAAUAUGCUAGAUCUUAACCUUGGAACAUCUUCAAGUCAAAAUGCUUUCAAUUCCAGCGAUUAGAAAUAAGAAGAAGAACUAUCAUGAUUAUGAAUCAACUAGGAGAAUUUUUAUUUUUUUUGUGAAAAAACUAAAGUGAAAUUCUCUGUUUUAGAUGUUUCAUUUCCUUGUUUUAGUAUCAUAUCUUAAUAGAUGUUUUGGAUAUGAAUUUAUGAACAUGGAUGUAAUGAUGUAUUAAACUAUCUUCUAGAAAGGAAUAUAAAUUUAUAUUUUCAUCUUA